rnacentral:rRNA from 1 species
AUACGUAGGUGACAAGCGUUAUCCGGAUUUACUGGGCGUAAAGGGCGUGUAGGCGGUCUUGCAAGUCAGAAGUGAAAUUCCUGAGCUCAACUCGGGCGCUGCUUCUGAAACUGCAGGACUUGAGUGCUGGAGGGGAUAGCGGAAUUCCUAGUGGAGCGGUAAAAUGCGCUGAUAUUAGAAAGAACACCGGUGGCGAAGGCGGUUAUCUGGACAGUAACUGACGCUGAGUCGCGAAAGCGGGGGGAGCAAACAGGAUUAGAUACCCUGGUAGUCCACGCGGUAAACGAUGAAUACUAGGUGUAGGGGGUAUCGACUCCCUCUGUGCCGCAGUUAACACAAUAAGUAUUCCGCCUGGGGAGUACGGCCGCAAGGUUGAAACUCAAAGGAAUUGACGGG